ACGGCAGCACAGAGGAGCUUGCUCCUUGGGUGGCGAGUGGCGGACGGGUGAGGAAUACAUCGGAAUCUACUCUGUCGUGGGGGAUAACGUAGGGAAACUUACGCUAAUACCGCAUACGACCUACGGGUGAAAGCAGGGGAUCUUCGGACCUUGCGCGAUUGAAUGAGCCGAUGUCGGAUUAGCUAGUUGGCGGGGUAAAGGCCCACCAAGGCGACGAUCCGUAGCUGGUCUGAGAGGAUGAUCAGCCACACUGGAACUGAGACACGGUCCAGACUCCUACGGGAGGCAGCAGUGGGGAAUAUUGGACAAUGGGCGCAAGCCUGAUCCAGCCAUACCGCGUGGGUGAAGAAGGCCUUCGGGUUGUAAAGCCCUUUUGUUGGGAAAGAAAUCCAGCCGGCUAAUACCUGGUUGGGAUGACGGUACCCAAAGAAUAAGCACCGGCUAACUUCGUGCCAGCAGCCGCGGUAAUACGAAGGGUGCAAGCGUUACUCGGAAUUACUGGGCGUAAAGCGUGCGUAGGUGGUCGUUUAAGUCCGUUGUGAAACCCUGGGCUCACCUGGGAACUGCGGUGGAUACUGGRCGACUCAGAGUGUGGU
rnacentral:rRNA from 1 species